AGCCACAGCGACUCUGAAUCGGCUCGUGUUACCUUCUUGGUCUCUGCGGUUUCAAGCACAGAGGAAAGCAGAAAAUGGCGGCCGGGGGAGAGUGAUGUUAGUGUUCAGAGCAACGAGCCGGAGAGCGAAGCACCUAAUUUGAAAAUAAAACCACCACUAACCACGACCGGAUGAGAGAUCUGGAAGGGAACGCGGUGUAAAUAAGGAGAAAAAUCAAUUGCAAUGUACACGUUUUUUGUAAAACGAAUCAGUAGACGUGCGAAUUACAGAACUGGGAAGAUUUGAAUAAAGAAAUCUAGCUGUAUUAUCAAAUGUUAGAGGCAUCUGGUGGCUGGGGCAGUGGCAUUAAGCAGUCUUAAAGUCGCAUCUUACAGGGAAAGGGUGACACUUUACAGUAAGGUAAAUAAACCGACCAAACCUUUCUCGGUUUAGUGUCUUUUCAACGAAAAAGGGAAUACAUCGGAGGAAUCUUAAUUAAGAGGCUGGCUUGAAUAUACAGAAGGGAUGAUACCAGCUGAAGAUUUAAGGAAGAACCACGCGUCGAGGCAGCGUGGAAUCCGCCGUGGACAGCACAGCCCUUGCGAGUCGGAGUAGGGGACACAGAUACGUGGUGCAUCCGCCUUUGUGCAGCAAGGACUGACAUUUCACAUCUAAGAUCGCGACUACAUGGGUGGAUUAAUAAGAGAAGAUUCACAGCUGGAACUGUGAAACGGUUUAUAUAGAAAAGGAAAACACUUUUUUAAACAGCAACUAGACGACUUACUCUGGGACGUCAGGCAAGCAAUCCACUGUUUACUCUAUCAACUAUAGCCAGCAUAAGUUAGACCCUACUUUAUAUUAUUGUGCAUCUGCAAUGCAUGAAAAUAGCAUCAUCAGAUAGGCAUUUUGCCAUUUCAUAUUGUGUGGCAUAGUUAGAGCGACCUUGUCCUAGUUUUUUUUUUUGUUUUUUUUU